rnacentral:misc_RNA from 1 species
UUUUUUUUUUUUUUUUUUAUUGUGAUAGCAUCAGUGCUGUUUAUUUAUCAAGUAAUUCUAGUCAGCAUGCUCGCACCAACGCGUUAGCUUGAUAUUCAUUUGUUCGGGAAAACCUUUUUUUAGUUCAGGUUCAUGUUUUACAUGUGCCAUCUUCUAUGCAGUAUGCUGAUAUUUUUACUAGGGGAUUGUUGAGCACACUUGUUUUUUUUUUUGAGACAAUGUUUGCGUUCAAUGUUCUCCCACUGUGAUUGAGGGGCCUGUUAGAGUUAGUUCAUGACUCCUAUUCAGGUAUCCUUUGUGUUAUUUGGUUUUCCUGUUACUGUAAGUAGCUUCCAACGCAGGUUGUAAUAUUCUUAUAUAAGUAGCUUCCUGUAUGGGUUGUAGUAUUCUUAUAUAUAUGUAAUGCAAGGCAUUUCCUAAAUCACUGAGGGUUUAAUUAUUGUUUAAGCUGGAACAAAUAAUAUUGACUAAGUGCUAACAGUCUACUGUGACUAAUGUGGACUUUUCAUCUGUUUGCUAUAUCAUUCUGCAGGUGCCCCUUUCAAGGAGGCAAUGCUUAUUGUUGGCGGCUGCUGGGUGUUUAUCACACUUUUUCCUAGAUCACUUGUUUGAGGUAAAAUUCUGAAAUUUAUAUGCUGUGCUGCCAAGUGAUAAUAUUAAUAAAAUUUGAUCAGUAAGCUAACUGUUUUCCUCUAAUAAUUUUGGGGGAAGGAAGGAAGUAAUUUCUACGUUGCUGAUGCAUUUUUGGCCCUUUAGUAAUAUAUAGUGAAAUAUCUUACUGAUAACUGGCUUUUCUUUUCACCCUUCUUUGUGCCUUUGGUUGCCAUACUUUUUUUUU